CCCUUAGAUGUUCUGGGCCGCACGCGUGCUACACUGAGUGGAUCAGCGGGUCAGGUUGCGCGAAAGUGUUUCCUAAUCUUUAAAUCCGCUCGUGAUGGGGAUUGACGGUUGCAAUUUUCCGUCAUGAACGAGGAAUACCUUGUAAGCGCGGGUCAUCAUCCCGCGCUGAAUACGUCCCUGCCCUUUGUACACACCGCCCGUCGCUCCUACCGAUUGGAUGGUCCGGUGAAGCCUCGGGAUUGUGGCGGUUGCCUUUAUUGGUGGCCGCCGCGAGAACUUGUCUAAACCUUAUCAUCUAGAGGAAGGUGAAGUCGUAACA
rnacentral:rRNA from 1 species